GGGUGUUCUCGGGUGACACACCCUGGAAUUGGGCUCCCUCCUCUCUGGUUCCAGGUGUGUCACCUGAAAACUGCA
rfam:Myotis davidii contig14318, whole genome shotgun sequence.